GUAGUCGGAUUCACAUCAAUCCACAUGUGUUGGGGUGGGUUGUGGUGGAAAUUGAACUAAAUUCCACCUCAAUCCACUCCAACACAUGUGGGUUAAGAUGAAUCCGACA
rfam:Sorghum bicolor cultivar BTx623 chromosome 7, whole genome shotgun sequence.